GACGAACGCUGGCGGCGUGCCUAAUACAUGCAAGUAGAACGCACAGUUUAUACCGUAGCUUGCUACACCAUACACUGUGAGUUGCGAACGGGUGAGUAACGCGUAGGUAACCUGCCUGGUAGCGGGGGAUAACUAUUGGAAACGAUAGCUAAUACCGCAUAAUAUUGAUUAUUGCAUGAUAAUUGAUUGAAAGAUGCUAUUGCAUCACUACCAGAUGGACCUGCGUUGUAUUAGCUAGUAGGUGAGGUAACGGCUCACCUAGGCGACGAUACAUAGCCGACCUGAGAGGGUGAUCGGCCACACUGGGACUGAGACAUGGCCCAGACUCCUACGGGAGGCAGCAGUAGGGAAUCUUCGGCAAUGGACGAAAGUCUGACCGAGCAACGCCGCGUGAGUGAAGAAGGUUGUCGGAUCGUAAAGCUCUGUUGUAAGAGAAGAACGGGUGUGAGAGUGGAAAGUUCACACUGUGACGGUAUCUUACCAGAAAGGGACGGCUAACUACGUG
rnacentral:rRNA from 1 species